rnacentral:rRNA from 1 species
UGGGGAAUCUUGGACAAUGGGGGCAACCCUGAUCCAGCGAUGCCGCGUGAGUGAAGAAGGCCUUCGGGUCGUAAAGCUCUUUAGGUUGGGAGGAAGGCUAGUAGUUUAAGAGAUAACUAGUUUGACUGUACCGACAGAAUAAGCACCGGCAAACUCUGUGCCAGCAGCCGCGGUAAUACAGAGGGUGCGAGCGUUAAUCGGAUUUACUGGGCGUAAAGGGCGCGUAGGCGGUCGUAUGAGUGUGAUGUGAAAGCCCCGGGCUUAACCUGGGAAGUGCAUCGCAAACGAUACGACUGGAGUAGGUGAGAGGGUGGCGGAAUUUCCGGUGUAGCGGUGAAAUGCGUAGAGAUCGGAAGGAACGUCAAUGGCGAAGGCAGCCACCUGG